rnacentral:rRNA from 1 species
CCUACGGUGGGCAGCAGUAGGGAAUAUUGGUCAAUGGACGCAAGUCUGAACCAGCCAUGCCGCGUGCAGGAAGACGGCUCUAUGAGUUGUAAACUGCUUUUGUACGAGGGUAAACGCAGAUACGCGUAUCUGUCUGACAGUAUCGUACGAAUAAGGAUCGGCUAACUCCGUGCCAGCAGCCGCGGUAAUACGGAGGAUUCAAGCGUUAUCCGGAUUUAUUGGGUUUAAAGGGUGCGUAGGCGGUCGGAUAAGUUAGAGGUGAAAUCCCGAGGCUCAACUUCGGAAUUGCCUCUGAUACUGUUCGGCUAGAGAGUAGUUGCGGUAGGCGGAAUGUAUGGUGUAGCGGUGAAAUGCUUAGAGAUCAUACAGAACACCGAUUGCGAAGGCAGCUUACCAAGCUACUUCUGACGUUGAGGCACGAAAGCGUGGGGAGCAAACAGGAUUAGAUACCCUAGUAGUC